UAAAACAGUUAAUUGUUGCUCUUGUUGCC
rnacentral:piRNA from 1 species